GGCGGACGGGUGAGUAAUGCCUGGGAAUAUGCCCUGAUGUGGGGGAUAACUAUUGGAAACGAUAGCUAAUACCGCAUAAUCUCUUCGGAGCAAAGAGGGGGACCUUCGGGCCUCUCGCGUCAGGAUUAGCCCAGGUGGGAUUAGCUAGUUGGUGGGGUAACGGCUCACCAAGGCGACGAUCCCUAGCUGGUCUGAGAGGAUGAUCAGCCACACUGGAACUGAGACACGGUCCAGACUCCUACGGGAGGCAGCAGUGGGGAAUAUUGCACAAUGGGGGAAACCCUGAUGCAGCCAUGCCGCGUGUAUGAAGAAGGCCUUCGGGUUGUAAAGUACUUUCAGCAGUGAGGAAGGGGUG
rnacentral:rRNA from 1 species